CAGUACCGCGGGAAUACGUAGGGUGCAAGCGUUAAUCGGAAUUACUGCGCGUAAAGCGUGCGCAGGCGGUUAUAUAAGACAGAUGUGAAAUCCCCGGGCUCAACCUGGGAACUGCAUUUGUGACUGUAUAGCUAGAGUACGGCAGAGGGGGAUGGAAUUCCGCGUGUAGCAGUGAAAUGCGUAGAUAUGCGGAGGAACACCGAUGGCGAAGGCAAUCCCCUGGGCCUGUACUGACGCUCAUGCACGAAAGCGUGGGGAGCAAACAGGAUUAGAUACCCCUGUAGUCCCUGUCUCUUAUACA
rnacentral:rRNA from 1 species